CCUUCGAUGUCUCUCUUCUCUUAUCAUCUCAUCUCAGAGAAAAAAGGUUGAGUUGCUUUUUAGGGGAAACAAGGAGAGUGAAACCAAUGAUGGCGGUGAGCUCAAAACCACCGAUCAUACCUUCAACGAUGGUUAUGGGCUUCGAUUCUUCUCAGCGUUUCCGAUUUCGGGCGGUUGCUAAGGUUACGAUUGUGGACAAUGGUUUUCUGAUCUCCAGGCGGAAGGAGGAAGAUGGAGCAAGGUUUGGUGGACUCGAGUUUGAGUUGGAUAAACUCAGGUUCUUGGAAUGCAGUUCAAGAACCGUUGCAGACCAAUCCAGAUCUAGAGGAGGGUUUUUGCUGAGCUCUGUUGUGCCGUUUAUGGUUUCGUAAGGUCUUACCUUAUAUACUCUUGCUACUUUUAUAGAUUCCCCUGAUUGCCAAUCUUACAUUAGACCAUCAGGAGAAAUGUGACGAGAGAUUUGAGUGUUGUGCUAUUUUGGUUUUUUUUUUUUUUUUUUUUUUGGCUCUGCCACUUAAGCUUGUAUACAGUAUAAUACAAUGGCCCUGGAUGUUUUUCGUUAUUUGCCUUCUCUGCAUAUAUUGAGAGGACAAUCGUUCUUAUUGAUGCCUUUGAUCUUUCAUGUCUAUAAGUCUAUUUAUUUACGGAAGACAUCAAGCUCUGCAAUAUUCUUCGGAAUCCAUGCCUCUAUUUCUGUUGCUGUGUGCUAAUGCAUGUGUAAAAUUUGUUUUGGUUGUAAUACCCGAUACAAAUUCGCUAACAUAGUGACUAAAUUGCAAUUUUCAGGGAAGGUACAGCUUUUGCUUAAGAAUUUAUUGGCAUAUAAUAAUAUUUUGCCUCAAAAUUUUGUUCAAUUUGAUGGCUGCAUUAAUUAAUCAAACCUACAGUGUAAUGAGACUUCAUUUUUCAUUGUGUGUUGCAGCAUUACUACCACCUUCUUAUGUGCUUGAAGGAACCCCAAGGCAAAGGCUUUGAGUUGGCAAGAAAACAUAUUUUAUCUAGCUUAUUACAGCUGGAACAAAUGCAAAAAUCAGCUGAGUUUCUGAGGUCUAUAGGAUGCUUGACAAUAUUGUUCUGCGGAAGCCAGAAGGAGGAAGACGGAGCAAGGUUUGAUGGAUCUUGUUUUAGAGACAUUAUGUUGGACCCUGUUGUUUUAUCUACUAGCUAGGGCAUAAAGUGAAGAAAAUCAGGAGGAAGGAAGAGAAAGAAAGAGAGAGGUUUGGAUCUUAGAGAAUCCCGGCCAUGGUGCGUAAUUUUUCAUUUCUAGCUGCACAUGUUGGAGAAUUACAGGGGUUGGUGGUCAUGAUUGAAUUAAAGAAGAUAUUCUUGACCGAGUCGUCAAUAUUCAUGCCCAGCUGAGUUCAUUCGAAUCUAAUUCAAUGUGAUUAUUUUCUUUUUCUUGUAAAUAUGUUAUUAUUUAAUUGAUCUGUUUAGUUUAAUUCUGUUGCUCAGCCUGGUGAUGUUUUAUUACUCCAUUAUCAUUUUAAUCAAUUUGGCUAAUUUUUGGGAGUUUUGUGAUUAUCUUUUGAAACCUUUUUUAAAACCAGUUUUGUGAUUAUCUGGGUGUUCUUAAAUUACUGUGAAAGUUACGGUUUUUAUUACUUCAAAUGGUAAACUUUUUAAUCAACUUUGUUUUUUAUACAAAAAAAUCUUGGGUUUUUAACUAUGUAGAUGUUUAAUUACAGGUACAAGAAGCUUCUAUCAAGUGUUAACUUGACGAAGGAUUUUAUUUUUACAGCUAUAAAAAUCCAAUUAUACAAAGCUUGCAAAAAAAAAAUAUAUGUGCAGCUCAAGGAUUUGGUUGGAAUCGGUUCAUGGGCUUUUUAAGCAAGUAUGUAACUCAUACUUUCUUCUUGGGCUCUACAUUGGUUAAAAAAAAUGACACAAAUGAGUCAUGGGAUGUCGGUGACUCAUAGUUGGUAUCUUAAUAAUCAAUUUGAUAUUCUGAUGUUUUCUUUUUUGAAUGGUUUUGGGAUAUUUGCGAGGUUUUAAUUUUACAUGUACAUUAUUCUAGGUUGUUAUUUUUUUUUCCUUUAUGUUUGAUACCUUUUGUAUGCCCUAGACACAAUUAUAUAACUGAUGACAUGUUAUUGAAUUUUGAAGAUUUUCCUCUAUGAUAUGAACCGUAAUCAAUUAAUAUAAAUGAAGGACUUGGCUUAUUUUGUGUUUUUUCUCUUAAUUUCCUAUUUAUGUUGAUUAUUGAACAAUGCGGUAUUGAUUUCAUGAUUAGUAUCCUGAAUUGGUUGAAUCAAUUUUCUGUAGGCUGAGAAGUUGUACACAAAAUUGCAGUUUUGGGUUGUUUGGUGAAAAAUCUCAUUCUAUAAGUUUUAAAAUUUUUCCUUUUAGUAUUAUUGUAAAACACAUAUCUUGGAAAACGGCUUGAUGCAAUAGAGCUGGAAGAGUUUCAAUAUUGACGUUGUAUAGUGGCCAAGGAAAGAGAGUGAUGUGGAUUGGUUAUUAAUUAAGAUUUUGAUGUGCUAAAUAUCAUAGGUAGUUUGUUGUAACGUGGAUAGCGUUUAGUAAUCACUCAAUUAUUGAUUGGUUGGUCUAACAAGCUACUAUGCUAGCAUCUCUAAUUUUAAUAAUCAUUUUACACUGCCAAGUUAAAGAGUUUUGGUAUAGCAUAGUGUAUGCUAAUGUGAUAAAGAGUUUUAAGUGAAUGCGUAAGGUCUAGCUUAUUAAAUUCAUUUAGCUUAGUAGUUAUGUUAAAAGGGAGCUCUAGAGUUUGUGGAGUGACCUUUAUUAAAGGGACAAGAGAUGAAUGCAUAGUUUAGGUAUGUGAGUUGUGAAUUACUCGAAAACGAAAGGAUAACUAUGGUUCUGUUAUCCUAAAAAUCAGUUAAGCUAAACAAAAAUAAGUUAAAUUUAGCUAAUAUAAAUUAAGUUUAAACAAGUAGAGGUUAACGAAGCUUAAUUGAGUCGUUAUGUUGUGAGGAAAUUUGUGUCAUUGAGUGAGAAUAUGAAGAAAAAGCUAAAGACUUUUCUCUAUCAGUUGGAGGGUUAGGGCUCUCAGAGGGUGGAAUUGAAUGCCUAAUUAUAGAGAGACUGAGCAAAUGUAGGGAGCACUUUUUGUAUGUUUGUAUGAUAACUUUCUAGAGCUUCUGAUCAAUUCUUGGGAUUUGCUAUCCUGUUAUGCAGGGAUCACAUCAUUUUUUAGCAAGGCUGAACAUUUUUUCGAUUAGGAGAAUAGCUUUAAGGGGUGGGUGAGCAUGCAUAUCUGAUUAUCUGUUCAGACAGCUUGUACACGAUUCAUAAUGAGAUGAUGUAGUGAUGAUUGUCCUAUCUAACUUUCUUGGCAUGCUAUAUUUAAUUUUUGUUUCAAUUCAAAAUUAAUUGCAUGAUAAAAGGGUCGUUUGAGCCAACAAUUCUACAAUGAAACCCAAAUGGGGAUAGUACUAUAAUCUUUUCAGUAGUUUUUAGCUCUUAGGAAGGAGUCAUGCUUGGUAACGAUGGAUGAUGAAUCACUUUCAGAUUUAGACUAUUCGACAAGGAUAGAGAUGGAAGUCACCGUCGAGAAGAUGUCAAAAUGGAGAGAAGAAGACUAGAGGUCAUUGUUGAGAAGCUGAUAUUCGGGUAUGUUUUGUUCAAGAACGUGGACUUCCAAGCUUUUUUAACUCCAUUGAAGUUGAGAGAAUGCUUUAGGUGUCGACAAUAAUUGGUAUAUAAAGUAAUCAUCUUAGUAAACAAGGGUGAUGUAGCCCUUUAUUGUUUGAUUUUGUAAUUAUAAACAUUUGUGUCGUAAUAUGUUUAGUUGUUAACUACUACUUAGACCAAUGUUCUAUAGGAAAAUGUACAUGGAAAUAACUCAAUAGUCAAUAAAUUUGCCUAAUUUCUAAGAGUUAUGUUUUUUUGAAUGUAAUCAAUUCACCAAAUUUCCCUGUUAUAUACAAAUAUCAAACUUUCGUAA